AUAUACUGGCUUUGACUGUAUAUAUACUAAAUUUGGAAUGUUAUAGAGAUUAGCAUGGCUCCUGUGCAAGGUUGACGUGCAAAUUCGUGACUCAUUCCAUAUUUUU